CAGUCGCCGCGGUAAUACGUAGGGUGCGAGCGUUAAUCGGAAUUACUGGGCGUAAAGCGUGCGCAGGCGGUUAUAUAAGACAGAUGUGAAAUCCCCGGGCUCAACCCGGGACCUGCAUCUGUGACUGUAUAGCUAGAGUACGGUAGAGGGGGAUGGAAUUUCGCGUGUAGCAGUGAAAUGCGUAGAUAUGCGGAGGAACACCGAUGGCGAAGGCAAUCCCCUGGACCUGUACUGACGCUCAUGCACGAAAGCGUGGGGAGCAAACAGGAUUAGAUACCCCUGUAGUCCCUGUCUCUUAUAC
rnacentral:rRNA from 1 species